GGUGGCAAACACCUUAUUUUAAGUUAUAUAAUUUUAAGAAAAUGUCAACUUAAGUAGAAACAUGUCCUAGAUCUAAUUUAGUAAAGCAAACAGAAAACUCAAAGAGAAAACCUUCCCUCUUCCUUUCAAUUCUGUGAAAUUUACUAUAAUUUCUGCCAGAUUAGAGCAGUGCUAUUCUAUUAGAAUCAACCAAGAAAGAAUAACUCUGAUGUUGUCAAGUCGCACUAUGUUUACGUUCACACACACACACACACACACACAAAAAACCAAAAUUCUAUUUCUGAAAAGGAACCAAAGGUAAAUAGCCAGCAUCACCUUCAUCAUUCGUAGAUAAGAGACUCUGGGGAACCGCCCUCGCGUGCCGACUGACAAUUUCAAUUGUUGUAGUACCUUUCCCAUUGGAUACUAAGUAAGGAAGAACUGUUAUGAAAAGCAGCUUAGCUUCAUGCCCUUUAUAUGAUUUGUGACCCUGCAUUUACAAACAUUCAGGAAACAUUAUUGUUUGGUGACAGAAUAUUUUAAAGAUAAUUUUCCAGUUUAUGCCUAUUAAAAAUGAGUUUUCAGUUGACCAUUUUAUUUUUUGAUCGUAUUUUGUUGGUGAAAGAAAAAAAUUAAUGGAAGAAAAAAUAUUUUGCUUUUAUUUGAAUACAGAGUACUAACAACUUAAUAAAACAGUAGAGGAAGUGAAAAAAUGUUUUGAAAUUUAGAAAUUAGAGUAUUCAAGUCUCUGAAAUUUUAAUAUGGUGAGUCUUAGAGCUUUAGACUUUCCUAUAAGUGACAGUAUCUAAAUUAUUAUUUGUCACAUUUGGUACAUCUGCUGGCCAUAAGCAGCUAACCUAAAAUUGAAACUAUUUAUGUGACAUGAAUAGUCUGUGUUUUAAAAAUUAAAUAUUUUAU
rnacentral:lncRNA from 1 species